GCACUAGUGGUCCAGCGGUAGGAUUUUCGCCUUCCAAGCGAAAGGCUCGGGUUCGACUCCCGGCUGGUGCA
rnacentral:tRNA from 1 species